rnacentral:tRNA from 1 species
GAGGGUGUAGCUCAGUGGUAGAGUGCAUACUUAGAAUGCACGAGCUCCUGGGUUCAAUCCCCAGUACUUCCA